rnacentral:rRNA from 1 species
UACGGAGGGGGCUAGCGUUAAUCGGAAUUACUGGGCGUAAAGCGUGCGCAGGCGGUUUUGUAAGUCUGUCGUGAAAUCCCCGGGCUCAACCUGGGAAUUGCGAUGGAGACUGCAAGGCUUGAAUCUGGCAGAGGGGGGUAGAAUUCCACGUGUAGCAGUGAAAUGCGUAGAGAUGUGGAGGAACACCGAUGGCGAAGGCAGCCCCCUGGGUCAAGAUUGACGCUCAUGCACGAAAGCGUGGGGAGCAAACAGG